rnacentral:tRNA from 1 species
AUAGCUCAGUGGUAGAGCUCAUGCUUAGCAUGCAAGAGGCCCUGGGUUCAAUCCCCACU